GACGAACGCUGGCGGCGUGCUUAACACAUGCAAGUCGAACGGUAAGGCCUCUUCGGGGGUACACGAGUGGCGAACGGGUGAGUAACACGUGAGUAACCUGGCCUUGACUUUGGGAUAACAUCUGGAAACAGGUGCUAAUACCGGAUAUGAGCUUGUCCUGCAUGGGAUGGGUUGGAAAGCUCCGGCGGUCAUGGAUGGACUCGCGGCCUAUCAGCUUGUUGGUGAGGUAAUGGCUCACCAAGGCUUCGACGGGUAGCCGGCCUGAGAGGGCGGCCGGCCACAUUGGGACUGAGAUACGGCGCAAACUCCUACGGGAGGCAGCAGCGGGGAAUAUUGCACAAUGGGCGGAAGCCUGGUGCAGAAACGCCGCGUGCGGGAUGACGGCCUUCGGGUUGUAAACCGCUUUCAGCAGGGACGAAGCGUGAGUGACGGUACCUGCAGAAGAAGCACCGGCUAACUACGUGCCAGCAGCCGCCGUAAUAC
rnacentral:rRNA from 1 species